UCCAUUAUUUCUCAUUUGAGAUUUGAAUGUAAUAUUUUUUUAAUUUUAGAAGAUAUACAAAUCAUGCAGUCUUAUUAUAAAUACAAUAACGUAAAUGCUCGAUUCUCAAGUUGAGAUUGAGCCACCAAAAGCCUGUUGUCUUCCACUUUCAUUUGUGUGCAAUACAGGAGAGCAACUAGGCAAGAGAGCAACUCUGAAUAAGAGAGUUGGCUGACUUCGGACAAGAGAGGUUAGGUCAAG
rnacentral:lncRNA from 1 species